AACAAAUAAUGUCAAGUAUAUGUAUAUAUACGAGGAUAGCCAUGGAGAAACCCCACAAGGUCAAAAGAGCAAUUCUCGGUCCAAAGUGAAGUUCAGCACAUCUAUCAAUCAGCAUAAAUAGAAAAAGCAAACGUUAAUCUCAACCGUUGAUUCACUGACAAACCCAGCUCCCAACAAGUGCUAUACAGUCAUUCAGAGACGAGACGACAAUAAAUAUUUCAGACAAACUCUCUCUCUCUACUAUUUGGUUAGAGGGCUUUGGAUUUGGAACAAGAAAAAUAAAAAU